AGAGUUUGAUCCUGGCUCAGGAUGAACGCUAGCGGCAGGCUUAACACAUGCAAGUCGAGGGGCAGCGCGGGAUAGCAAUAUUCUGGCGGCGACCGGCGGAAGGGUGCGUAACGCGUGAGCGACAUGCCCGUUGCCCGGGGACAACCGGUGGAAACGCCGACUAAUCCCCGAUGGGAUACGAUGCUUCAUGGCAUUGUAUUGAAAGUUACGGCGGCGACGGAUUGGCUCGCGUCCGAUUAGCUUGUUGGCGGGGUAACGGCCCACCAAGGCUACGAUCGGUAGGGGUUCUGAGAGGAAGGCCCCCCACAAUGGGACUGAGACACGGCCCAUACUCCUACGGGAGGCAGCAGUGAGGAAUAUUGGUCAAUGGGCGAGAGCCUGAACCAGCCAAGUAGCGUGUGGGAAGAAUGCCCUAUGGGUUGUAAACCACUUUUGCAGGAGGGUAAAAUGCUUCACGUGUGGAGUAUUGCAAGUAUCCUGCGAAUAAGGACCGGCUAAUUCCGUGCCAGCAGCCGCGGUAAUACGGAAGGUCCAGGCGUUAUCCGGAUUUAUUGGGUUUAAAGGGAGCGUAGGCGGGGAGUCAAGUCAGUUGUGAAAAGCCACGGCCCAACCGUGGUCGUGCAGUUGAAACUGGUUCUCUUGAGUGCGCACGAGGACGGUGGAAUUCGUGGUGUAGCGGUGAAAUGCUUAGAUAUCACGAAGAACUCCGAUUGCGAAGGCAGCCGUCCGGAGCGUUACUGACGCUGAGGCUCGAAGGUGCGGGUAUCAAACAGGAUUAGAUACCCUGGUAGUCCGCACAGUAAACGAUGGAUGCCGGCUGUCGGCGACAGAAUGUCGUUGGCCACGCGAAAGUUUUAAGCAUCCCACCUGGGGAGUACGCCGGCAACGGUGAAACUCAAAGGAAUUGACGGGGGCCCGCACAAGCGGAGGAACAUGUGGUUUAAUUCGAUGAUACGCGAGGAACCUUACCCGGGCUUGAAUUGCAGAGGAAGGAUUUGGAGACAAUGACGCCCUUCGGGGUCUCUGUGAAGGUGCUGCAUGGUUGUCGUCAGCUCGUGCCGUGAGGUGUCGGCUUAAGUGCCAUAACGAGCGCAACCCCUCUCCUUAGUUGCCAUCAGGUUAAGCUGGGCACUCUGGGGACACUGCCACCGUAAGGUGUGAGGAAGGUGGGGAUGACGUCAAAUCAGCACGGCCCUUACGUCCGGGGCUACACACGUGUUACAAUGGCAGGUACAGAGAGAGGGUUGUACGUAAGUGCGAUCAAAUCCUUAAAGCCUGUCUCAGUUCGGACUGGGGUCUGCAACCCGACCCCACGAAGCUGGAUUCGCUAGUAAUCGCGCAUCAGCCAUGGCGCGGUGAAUACGUUCUCGGGCCUUGCACAAAACGCCCGUCA
rnacentral:rRNA from 1 species